rnacentral:tRNA from 1 species
GCUUCGUUAGCGCAGCUGGUAGCGCACAUCGUUCACAUCGAUGGGGUCACUGGUUCGAGUCCAGUACGAAGCACCA